GACGGAGGAUGCAAGUGUUAUCCGGAAUCACUGGGCGUAAAGCGUCUGUAGGUGGUUUAAUAAGUCAACUGUUAAAUCUUGAGGCUCAACCUCAAAAUCGCAGUCGAAACUAUUAGACUAGAGUAUAGUAGGGGUAAAUGGAAUUUCCAGUGGAGCGGUGAAAUGCGUAGAGAUUGGAAAGAACACCGAUGGCGAAGGCACUUUACUGGGCGAUUACUAACACUCAGAGACGAAAGCUAGGGGAGCAAAUGGG
rnacentral:rRNA from 1 species